GGCCUCAUCGUCCAGUGGUUAGGACACAGGGUUUUCGACCCUGCAACGGGAGUUCGAUUCUCCCUGGGGCUA
rnacentral:tRNA from 1 species